rnacentral:rRNA from 1 species
GGUCUGGGCCAUAGCAUUCUGAAGGUACCUAAUCUUGUCUAAUCUUGGAAGCUAUGUAGGGUCAGGCCUGGUUAGUACUUGGGUGGGAGAAUGCAUACUGGGCAUCAUGAAUA